UACGGAGGAUCCGAGCGUUAUCCGGAUUUAUUGGGUUUAAAGGGUGCGCAGGCGGGAGAUUAAGUCGGCGGUGAAAUUUUGCAGCUCAACUGUAAAAGUGCCUUCGAAACUGGUUUCCUUGAGUGUAGAUGAAGUAGGCGGAAUUUGUGGUGUAGCGGUGAAAUGCUUAGAUAUCACGAGGAACUCCGAUUGCGCAGGCAGCUUACUAAACUACUACUGACGCUCAGGCACGAAGGCGUGGGGAUCAAACAGGAUUAGAUACCCGGGUAGUCCCU
rnacentral:rRNA from 1 species